CGAGGCCAAAGAUUUGAAAGCCUAAGGCUACC
rnacentral:piRNA from 1 species